CGUUGUUCGGAUUUACUGGGCGUAAAGGGCGCGUAGGCGGCCACCGCAAGUCGACUGUGAAAUCUCCGGGCUUAACCCGGAAAGGUCAGCCGAUACUGCGGGGCUAGAGUGCAGAAGGGGCAACUGGAAUUCUCGGUGUAGCGGUGAAAUGCGUAGAUAUCUGGAGGAACACCGGUGGCGAAGGCGUCAUCCUGGACCGACACUGACGCUGAGGCGCGAAAGCCAGGGGAGCAAACGGG
rnacentral:rRNA from 1 species